rnacentral:sRNA from 1 species
GUCAGGUGUGGUGACACACACCUGUAAUCCCCGCAGCUCUGGAGGCUGAGGCAGGAGAAUCUCAGGUUUGAAGCCAGCCUCGGCAACUUAGUGAGCAUAUAAGCCAUGUAGUGAUACCCUGUCUCAA